GACGAACGCUGGCGGCGUGCUUAACACAUGCAAGUCGAACGGAAAGGCCCUGCUUUUGUGGGGUGCUCGAGUUGCGAACGGGUGAGUAACACGUGAGUAACCUGCCCUUGACUUUGGGAUAACUUCAGGAAACUGGGGCUAAUACCGGAUAGGAGCUCCUGCUGCAUGGUGGGGGUUGGAAAGUUUCGGCGGUUGGGGAUGGACUCGCGGCUUAUCAGCUUGUUGGUGGGGUAGUGGCUUACCAAGGCUUUGACGGGUAGCCGGCCUGAGAGGGUGACCGGCCACAUUGGGACUGAGAUACGGCCCAGCCUCCUACGGGAGGCAGCAGUGGGGAAUAUUGCACAAUGGGCGGAAGCCUGAUGCAGCAACGCCGCGUGCGGGAUGACGGCAUUCGGGUUGUAAACCGCUUUCGCCUGUGACGAAGCGUGAGUGACGGUAAUGGGUAAAGAAGCACCGGCUAACUACGUG
rnacentral:rRNA from 1 species